CCCUCUUUCACUGCCAACCCCCAAGCCCGUUGGGGGUUGGAGCCGGCCUGAGGAACCUCUUCCUACGCCCCCACAUCUGCGAGAUCUUGCUUAGGCCAGAAUCCGCAGUUCCCUCACGUUAUUAACCGGUUUUCACGAGUUGACGCCUGAGCUGGCAAGAACAGCCUGUAGCCACAUUUGUCUUCUGUAAUCGACUGGCGCUGACAGCUCUUUCCAAGAUAUUUGCUAGCAUCUAGACAAAGUCUCACCAUGUUGCCCAGGCUGGUCCGAAACUCCUGGAAUCAAGGGAUCUUCCCACCCCAACCUCCCAAAGUGCUGGAAUUACAGGCAUGAGCUACCAAGCCUGGCCUUUCCUUUUUAUACUAAUUUAAAAAUCCUCUUGUUCUGGCGGCAACACCCAAUGGGGUGACAGAUCCUAAGGGUAAAUUUAGGAUAAUCAAGAUUGAGUGUGAUCACUUGACAUUCAAUGUGGGGAAGGAGAAGGAAGAGAGAAUAUUAAAAGUCAUACCAUGUGUUCAACUUGACAUAAAUGGGAAACAGAGAAAAUGGAAAAAUUUAUGUAUAAAAUUUAUAGAAGUUUGUCUCCUGACAUUACACUCAACAAUAAUACAAUGUUUCUGGCAUGUUCUCAAAUAUGAAAUGUAAUAUCCAAAUGUA